rnacentral:rRNA from 1 species
GAUGAACGCUGGCGGCGUGCCUAAUACAUGCAGGUCGAGCGAACAGACGAGGAGCUUGCUCCUCUGACGUUAGCGGCGGACGGGUGAGUAACACGUGGAUAACCUACCUAUAAGACUGGGAUAACUUCGGGAAACCGGAGCUAAUACCGGAUAAUAUAUUGAACCGCAUGGUUCAAUAGUGAAAGACGGUUUUGCUGUCACUUAUAGAUGGAUCCGCGCCGCAUUAGCUAGUUGGUAAGGUAACGGCUUACCAAGGCAACGAUGCGUAGCCGACCUGAGAGGGCGAUCGGCCACACUGGAACUGAGACACGGUCCAGACUCCUACGGGAGGCAGCAGUAGGGAAUCUUCCGCAAUGGGCGAAAGCCUGACGGAGCAACGUCGCGUGAGUGAUGAAGGUCUUCGGAUCGUAAAACUCUGUUAUUAGGGAAGAACAAAUGUGUAAGUAACUAUGCACGUCUUGACGGUACCUAAUCAGAAAGCCACGGCUAACUACGUG